UCAAGGUUUGGCCAAAUGUAAUCUCGAAGUGCACAGCAGCAGUACAUUUAUAUUUACAGUUAAUUUAUCUUUACUGCACACCAAGAUGGAGCUGUUUUUUGUAUGGUGUAAAGCAGCUGUGGACAUUAGAAGACAGGAGGUGCUACUUGUCUUGUGAGAUGCACGUUUAACGUGAGCAUUUAACAGCUGCCUUUACAAUGUCUGCAGGAUGCUGGGGAUGGAUCAACCAGCAUUCAAGAGCAGAUGGCAGAUGAAGUGAUGGCGAUUUACCUGUUGCGGAAAGAUGGGUCAGUUGAUGUCGGCAUAGUGAUUGAGGGCAGCACUAUCCUCUGCACUCUUAAGGAUCUUAAGAGGUGGCGGCCCGUGGCCUGGCAAUGUAGGCGCUGCACAUUGGAGGAUACUUCAAAAGGGGAGCUUCUCAAGCAUUACCAAGUCAAGCACAGUAUUUAUGGAUGUGGCUGAGCUGAACCAAAACCAACUAAUCACCAAUUAAAGAAGAGAGACAGCCCAGUCAUUAAGG